rnacentral:rRNA from 1 species
UACGUAGGGCGCGAGCGUUGUCCGGAAUCAUUGGGCGUAAAGAGCUCGUAGGCGGCCGGUUGCGUCUGCUGUGAAAUCCCGGGGCUUAACCCCGGGCGUGCAGUGGAUACGGGCUGGCUGGAGGCAGGCAGGGGAGAAUGGAAUUCCCGGUGUAGCGGUGAAAUGCGCAGAUAUCGUGAGGAACACCGGUGGCGAAGGCGGGUCUCUGGACAGUUCCUGACACUGAGACACGAAGGCCAGGGGAGCAAACGGG